rnacentral:rRNA from 1 species
CUACGGGGGGCUCCAGUGAAGAAUAUUGCACAAUGGGGGGAACCCUGAUGCAGCAACGCCGCGUGGAGGAUGACGCAUUUCGGUGUGUAAACUCCUUUUAUAUGUCAAGAAAAUGACGGUAGCAUAUGAAUAAGCACCGGCUAACUCCGUGCCAGCAGCCGCGGUAAUACGGAGGGUGCAAGCGUUACUCGGAAUCACUGGGCGUAAAGGACGCGUAGGCGGGUUGGAAAGUCGGGUGUGAAAUCCUACAGCUUAACUGUAGAACUGCACUUGAAACUUCUAAUCUAGAGUAUGGGAGGGGGAGAUGGAAUUAGUGGUGUAGGGGUAAAAUCCGUAGAUAUCACUAGGAAUACCUAAAGCGAAGGCGAUCUCCUGGAACAUUACUGACGCUAAGGCGUGAAAGCGUGGGGAGCAAACAGGAUUAGAUACCCCUGUAGUC